rnacentral:pre_miRNA from 7 species
AGUUAAAUGAAGCGACUCAGCCUUCCAAUUGAAAGAACUCAGUGGGGAAACCCCCACUCAGCUCCCGAUUCGGCGUGCACCCAAGAAUCACGAAUAGAACA